rnacentral:rRNA from 1 species
CGGGUGAGUAACACGUGGAUAACCUACCUAUAAGACUGGGAUAACUUCGGGAAACCGGAGCUAAUACCGGAUAAUAUAUUGAACCGCAUGGUUCAAUAGUGAAAGACGGUUUUGCUGUCACUUAUAGAUGGAUCCGCGCCGCAUUAGCUAGUUGGUAAGGUAACGGCUUACCAAGGCAGCGAUGCGUAGCCGACCUGAGAGGGUGAUCGGCCACACUGGAACUGAGACACGGUCCAGACUCCUACGGGAGGCAGCAGUA